UACGAAGGGUGCAAGCGUUACUCGGAAUUAUUGGGCGUAAAGCGUGCGUAGGUGGUUCGUUAAGUCUGAUGUGAAAGCCCUGGGCUCAACCUGGGAAUGGCAUUGGAAACUGGCGACCUAGAGUGCGGUAGAGGGUAGUGGAAUUCCCGGUGUAGCAGUGAAAUGCGUAGAGAUCGGGAGGAACAUCCGUGGCGAAGGCGACUCCCUGGACCAGCACUGACACUGAGGCACGAAAGCGUGGGGAGCAAACAGG
rnacentral:rRNA from 1 species